rnacentral:ncRNA from 1 species
GCCCCCCCGUUUGAUCUGGUUGCCAGACGCCUGGCAAUCAGCUUCAAACUAAAGCGUGACUACCCGCUGGAGGAGAGCGAUUGGCUGUACGGCGAAGAUUUGGCAAAUCUUAGCUGGAAGCAGAAGAUGGCGCGACUAGACGAAGACCUGUUGUGCGAGUGGCAACGCAGAUGGGAUAAUGGUGACUCCCCAGGACGGGUGACGCACCGCUUCAUCCCGAACGCAGGCUUCGUCUACAGCGAAUGAAGGUUUGGCUUCACGCUGCGCGCUGGGUUCCUGCUGACGGGCCACGGAUCGCUUAAUGCAUUUCUGCAUGGAAGAAGCCUUAGCGACACGCCAGCAUGUCUAUGCGGCGCAGAACGCGAGGAUUGGCAGCACUUCCUAUGUGCUUGUCCCCUCUAUACAGACUUGCGAGACCUCGAUGGACUUGGAGUGCAGUACACGGAUGGCGACUGGACCUUCUCCGAUGUGACGGCUUCUCAGGAGAGAUCGGUACCACGGGUUGUGCAGUUCCAAGGCUGCACAUUGAGGUCGGCCCCCUAGUGGGAGUAUCGUGGUGGCUGUGGUUGAUACCCAAACGUUACGCGGGGAGAGCUGCUAGGCUCCUCGUGGAGUUGCGCUCUCAACCGGGUGCCGAGACCCAUAGAUUGGAAGACGUGUUAGAUACACCUCGCCCCUCACCAAGGGGGAUUGUAUGCCCGACCAGGAUACUUUCAAUUGGUACCAGAAGAGUCGCUAUGUACAUAGCUAUAGCUUCUUUUUAGGGGCGCUAACUGGCGCAUUGUACCAGGUUCCUGCGUAUGUAGCGGGUGGGUGCGUGAUGGCGUGAUAUAUGUAAAUAUAUCGCACUAAUCGAGGCUAAGCUGCAAAUAAACAUUAGACGCCGUGGUUGAAAUCCCUCCCUGAGGAACCGCCACGUAAAAUAAAGCUGAGUGAUCAGAUUCAUUCUGUCCCUAUGUACUAUCUAGCGAAACCGCAGCCAAGCGAACGGGCUGGGAAUAAUUAGCGGGGAAAGAAGACCCUUUUGAGCUUGACUCUAAUCUGGCAGUGUAAGGAGACAUUAGAGGUGUAGCAUAAGUGGGAGAUAUAAGAAUUAGGUUAGGUAUCGACAAUGAAAUACCACUACUUACACAGUUUCCUUUAAUACUUUAUUAAAUGGAACUCGUAUCAUCUGCUCACCCAGAUCAUAAGCUCUCUCUCUCUUUUGUAGGUCAAAGUUUUCGUUUCAGAUUUCUUGAUCAAAGUUUCUAUUCGAUUAUUUCCUCUCGCAAACAAAUUAUACUCCGAUUAAAGCCAUUCAUACAUUCGCCCAUCCGACAUCCUCAUAAGUCCAGAUAGUCGGAUACCAUCC